rnacentral:rRNA from 1 species
AACGAACGCUGGCGGCAUGCCUAACACAUGCAAGUCGAACGAGACCUUCGGGUCUAGUGGCGCACGGGUGCGUAACGCGUGGGAAUCUGCCCUUGGGUUCGGAAUAACAGAGAGAAAUUUCUGCUAAUACCGGAUGAUGACGUAAGUCCAAAGAUUUAUCGCCCAAGGAUGAGCCCGCGUGAGAUUAGCUAGUUGGUGAGGUAAAGGCUCACCAAGGCGACGAUCUCUAGCUGGUCUGAGAGGAUGAUCAGCCACACUGGGACUGAGACACGGCCCAGACUCCUACGGGAGGCAGCAGUGGGGAAUAUUGGACAAUGGGCGAAAGCCUGAUCCAGCAAUGCCGCGUGAGUGAUGAAGGCCUUAGGGUUGUAAAGCUCUUUUACCCGGGAUGAUAAUGACAGUACCGGGAGAAUAAGCUCCGGCUAACUCCGUG